rnacentral:rRNA from 1 species
AACGAACGCUGGCGGCAGGCUUAACACAUGCAAGUCGAACGGUUGUAGCAAUACAGCAGUGGCAGACGGGUGAGUAACACGUGGGAAUCUACCUUGUAGUGGGGGAUAAGCCAGGGAAACUUGGACUAAUACCGCAUACGCCCCAAGGGGGAAAGGCGCAAGUCGCUAUAAGAUGAGCCCGCGUCUGAUUAGGUAGUUGGUAGGGUAAAGGCCUACCAAGCCUGCGAUCAGUAGCUGGUCUGAGAGGAUGGCCAGCCACAUUGGGACUGAGACACGGCCCAGACUCCUACGGGAGGCAGCAGUCGGGAAUAUUGGACAAUGGGGGCAACCCUGAUCCAGCAAUACCGCGUGUGUGAAGAAGGCCUGCGGGUUGUAAAGCACUUUUAGUAGGGAAGAUAAUGACGUUACCUACAGAAAAAGCACCGGCUAACUCCGUGCCAGCAGCCGCCGUAACAC